AUUGAACGCUGGCGGCAGGCCUAACACAUGCAAGUCGAGCGGAGCGGCCGACGGACGAGUAAUGCCUAGGAAUCUGCCUGGUAGUGGGGGAUAACGUCCGGAAACGGGCGCUAACACCGCACACAAUCAGAUGAGCCUAGGGGGGAUUAGCUAGUUGGUGGGGUAAAGGCUGACCAAGGUGACGAUCCGUAACUGGUCUGAGAGGAUGACCAGUCACACUGGAACUGAGACCGGGUCCAGAAUCCUACGGGAGGCAGCAGUGGGGAAGAUUGGACAAUGGGCGAAAGCCUGAUGCAGCCAUGCCGCGUGUGGGAAGAAGGUCUUCGGAUGGUAAAGCACUUUAAGUUGGGAGGCGUUACCAACAGAAGAAGCACCGGCUAACUUCGUGCCAGCAGCCGCGGUAAUAC
rnacentral:rRNA from 1 species